AGCAGCAGCCGCGGGAAUACGGAGGGUGCAAGCGUUAAUCGGAAUUACUGGGCGUAAAGCGCACGCAGGCGGUCUGACAAGUCAGAUGUGAAAUCCCCGGGCUUAACCUGGGAACUGCAUUUGAAACUGUCAGGCUGGAGUCUUGUAGAGGGGGGUGGAAUUCCAGGUGUAGCGGUGAAAUGCGUAGAGAUCUGGAGGAAUACCGGUGGCGAAGGCGGCCCCCUGGACAAAGACUGACGCUCAGGUGCGAAAGCGUGGGGAGCAAACAGGAUUAGAUACCCGUGUAGUCCCUGUCUAUUAUAC
rnacentral:rRNA from 1 species